AGCGAACGCUGGCGGCAGGCCUAAUACAUGCAAGUCGAACGGCUCUUCGGAGAAGUGGCGGACGGGUGAGUAACACGUGGGAACGUGCCUUUAGGUUCGGAAUAACUCAGGGAAACUUGUGCUACUACCGCAUGUGCCCUUCGGGGGAAAGAUUUAUCGCCUUUAGAGCGGCCCGCGUCUGAUUAGCUAGUUGGUGGGGUAAUGGCUCACCAAGGCUACGAUCAGUAGCUGGUCUGAGAGGAUGACCAGCCACAUUGGGACUGAGACACGGCCCAAACUCCUACGGGAGGCAGCAGUGGGGAAUCUUGCGCAAUGGGCGAAAGCCUGACGCAGCCAUGCCGCGUGGAUGAUGAAGGUCUUAGGAUUGUAAAAUCCUUUCACCGGUGAAGAUAAUGACUGUAGCCGGAGAAGAAGCCCCGGCUAACUUCGUGCCAGCCGCCGCCGUAA
rnacentral:rRNA from 1 species